rnacentral:rRNA from 1 species
AGUGAACGCUGGCGGUAGGCCUAACACAUGCAAGUCGAACGGCAGCACAGUAAGAGCUUGCUCUUACGGGUGGCGAGUGGCGGACGGGUGAGGAAUACAUCGGAAUCUACUUUUUCGUGGGGGAUAACGUAGGGAAACUUACGCUAAUACCGCAUACGACCUACGGGUGAAAGCAGGGGAUCUUCGGACCUUGCGCGAUUGAAUGAGCCGAUGUCGGAUUAGCUAGUUGGCGGGGUAAAGGCCCACCAAGGCGACGAUCCGUAGCUGGUCUGAGAGGAUGAGCCGGCACACUGGAACUGAGCGACGGUCCAGACUCCUACGGGCGGCAGCAGUGGGGAAUAUUGGACAAUGGGCGCAAGCCUGCUCCAGCCAUACCGCGUGGGUGAAGCAGGCCUUCGGGUUGUAAAGCCCUUUUGUUGGGAAAGAAAAGCAGCAGGUUAAGACCCCGCUGUUCUGACGGUACCCAAAGAAUAAGCACCGGCUAACUUCGUG